AGAGACCAACCAUUUAUGCAAAACCAUAAUAUGGAUUGUAUCCAGGAGGACUACAUUGAUCGUCAUUUGAAAUCCACUGGGUUGCAGAUGAUUCCGAGUGCGCAGAACAUUGCUCCUCUCUGUCGGACCUCUUUCCCUGGAUACAAGCUACGGGACAGAGAAGAGGCAGACAGACAGAGUUUCUAUUCAACCUUACUUGACUCACCGAUAAAUAGAUUAAAAUCUGGUUUCAAAACAGACUCAUAAAAUAGAAAAGGGAGAACAAGAAGGACACAUUUCCAGUAAAUAUGCUGGAUCAGAAUGAAAUCGAGAAACAGAGCAAAUAAACUGACAAUAAGAUUCAGACGUCAGAUGAGGAGGGUAAAGGAUAAGACUAGAUCUAGACUUGGUGAUGGGAGGCCACACAGAGGCCACAACAGUGAAAUGUAUUGUGUUUAUUGAUAAUUCAUUGUCAAGUUGAACUUGACAAGACGUGCACAACUAGCUUUUACGCACCAUUUUACGCGUCAUUCUAAUUAGAGGUUUGCGCAAAAGGUUUAAGGUGUGAAUCCCCUCUGCAGAAAAGUCUGAACAGGAAUUUAUGUUGUUAGAAUGUAUAAUUUUGUAACUUAGUGCAGUAUGGUCGCACAACUGCCACAUUUUUUGGCGCUAAUAAUAAUGAUUAUUCGUUAGAUUGAACUGAAUCAUAACUUGAGAUGUCCGUAAACAACUUUGCGCAAAUCGAGUCCCUGUCAUUUUAAAUGGCAGUUUGUUGUCUGUUGUCUUGUCAGGCCUGAGCUGUGGUGGCUAUACUGGAUGUACACUGUCAAUAAAAUGUCACCUUUUAAAAUGUAAGACUCACUUUAUUGUGAAACAUAGUAGGCCUACUUAAAAAGUGUAAUUUUGGGGAUCUUUGGUAUAUGGUAUUCCCUCAAGAGUUGGUUCCGCGGAGAGGAAAAGGGGUAUAAACGUUUACAACCAAUAUAACAUCUUGCAGGUCUGUAUCCGGUUUCCUCAGUGUUAUAUCAAUAUUUUGAGUAUAGGCUAGCCUAUACAGUUUGGCACUAUC
rnacentral:lncRNA from 1 species